rnacentral:lncRNA from 1 species
CCCCCCUCUAAUACUUUCCUUAUAGUUGAAGGCUGGAUAAUAAGGAUUUGCUGAUGUAUCGUUGCUGCUGUUGUUAAGAUCUCAGUCAAUCCCUCCUGGUUGCUGAAGCCUGAAUAAAUAAUAAGAAUCUCUGGUUAUUUGGUUGUUUAUCCUACUGUUCAUAAAUAAUUCAAACUCCCACAAAACAGUCACUUAUUGAGGUUACACAUAUAAAUGUAUGGUGCAGUGCUGUGCAGAAAGCAUGGCCCAUUAGCUCUAACUCACAUCAGCUCCCAGGCCCUACGUCAGCUGACCUAUCUAAGCCUUUGUUUCUCAUCCAUAAAGUGCCUGUUAUCAUAUCUAUCUCACAGAGAUCCUCUCACAGAUAAAGAUUACACAAGGCCUUCUGGGCAGCAGAGACAAUUGGAAAUUGAGGCUGAGUGAACCACAGAUGUUUGUUGCCUCCAUCCACUGCAAAACAGGAUCUGAUUGGAUGAGUUUGUGACGGAGUGAUAUGGAAAACCCUCAAUCGUUAUGGUAUCUCACAGCCAUUGGGCUCCCUCAGAUGCAGAGAACACAUGAAAGCCCUUGGCUCACACAAUGAUCCAGGUCCAGUCAAUCAUGACUGGAACAGCAGGACACAGGAUCAGUUUCACUCAAGCUAGAUGGCUCAGGCUUGGGUCCACUCUCCCCAAAUGGGGCUUUUAGAAAUGCCAGGUACUUAGGAGCUUCACAGUUUCCCCUCUAGUAUUAAUACUUAUUGUAUUUCAUCAAAUCCAAGAUAUACCAAUUGUAAGAUGCACCAUUAUUAUAUGCAUCACUGAUAAUUUUAUGCAUCACUGAUAUUUUUCAAAAGGCAUCCUGAAUGUUAUAAGAAGCUGACUGAUAUCAGAGAUGUUAGAAUAGGAUCUCAGAACGGAUGAAAUAUGUUAUGAAAUAUGGUUAUGGUUAUGCAAAUACCUAGUCAUAACAGUCAUCAAUAGAAGUGUAGCUCCUUUUUGCCCACCUCAAAGGCAAAGCCUGUGUCAUCUUUAUACCCACUAUGGAACCUAAGACUGGAUCAUGAUGGAAUGAUGGCAAUAAAAAACAUAACUGAUAUUUACUGAGCACUUUAUUUGUGUUGCAGCGCAACUUUAUAUGAAUUAAUACUCAAGAUAACUUUUAUUGCUUGUUUUGGUAAGUACUAUUAUUCCCACUUUGCAGAUAAGGGUACUGAGACUUAAAGAGAAGUUAAACAUCUCAACCAAGUUAGGAAGAUGCUUGGAUUACAAACCCAAGUCUAUCUAAUGCUAGAUCUACACCUUCUAAGCCACUGUGUUACACUGUCCUUAAGGAGGGUCAGGUUGUGGGUGUCAAGACUACAAAGGCAAGUAACACACGUGAGAAGCUCAGGCCAGAAUCAGAGAGAAGGAUGGUCAAGAGUUUUGGAGAUGAGGUAACUUAAAGAACUGGGUCAUGGAUUUUAUGAGAAAACUUGCUUAAAAUCUCCAAUUUGAGGUCCUCUGUCCAACUUUCUCAUUCCUUUAAUUUGGGAGUUAGGCUUUUGCCUCCAGGAGUGAGGGCUGUAUUGGACACAAUGAAAUCAAUGUGAGAACAUUAUUUUCUAACUCAUGAUUCAGGACCCAGUCACCAUGAUGCACUGAUUUUUUUUCAAACUUCAAUUAUACUUUAAAAAUACAUUUGAUAAAAGACAUUCAAUUUAAACAUUUCCCAAGCUGAUGUUGAAUAAUUUAAACAUUUUCCCUUCUAUCUGAGACAGAAAAAAUAAAUACAUAACUCUGAGAAUGUACAUAACUCUGAGAAUCAAUCACCUUCAUUUCCCUAUUCCUUAAUGAUAUUCUGUAAUGAGCUGUGAACAUAUACCUGUCUUUCUGCUGAGCCUCUUCCAUCAGCAUUUUACCAUUAAAUGGGAAAUAGGGGUGGAGAAGGCUGAGGUAGGAGUACACAAAUUACUGCAGGGAACAGAAAUUAAGGGCAUUUUCCAACUCCAAAGAUCAGAAUAUAAAACUGUUCAUUCUCUCAAGAAUUAAAGCAGCAUAACAUAAAAAAAAUUAACACAAGAAAAUGCAGCAAUGGCUUCAAGACAGCGUAUUCAGAAGCAAAGCUGACCCUUUACCAUAUCACCCUAGUGGAUCCAUCACUCAUCACUACACCAUCCGAUACACAGGGUCACCAACUCUCAGGCUUCCAAUUUUUUCCACUGAAUAAUAGAUCCCAAAAAGUGGAGACAACUUGUACAAUUCCCUCUCAGAAGGAUCACACAGGCGGUAGCUGAAACAAGCAAAAAUUCAAUCAUCAGACACAAAAAGGAAAUAAUAAUCGAAGUAUUCUCAAUAGAACUCAAGUUUGCCUUCCAAGUUAUUUAUAAAUACACAGCAAGAAUUUUCUAAAAUGUUGCGAGAGAAGUCUGUGGACAAUUAGUCAAACUGCAAAUAAUUCUAGUUUUUCUAGAAGUAUCCUGAAAGUCUACGCAAUUUCUCCAUGGCUUCAGUUUAAGUCCAAAAAGAAAAAAACUUAUGUGUAAGUAUAAAAUAAAUACUUUGUCUAUAUGGGUACCUUCAACUUCACAACUCAUUGAAACAAAUGCCCCUAAAACUCAAAAUGGAAUGGCCCUGAACUCUACAAAUCUUCUGUUUAGUGCAUUUAAGCACCAUGCUUUCAACCCCCUCCAGGUUUAUGAGCCCAAAGCUGGGGUUCACUGGUGAACAAAAAUUCAGACAGACAUGAAGUUGGCAGAUGGGUCUGGACUACUGCAGAUGUUAAUCUUUUUCCAGUGUCCUGUCUAAAGAAAACAAUAACUUUCACAGCAUCUUAAAUAAUUAUCACUACAUCUUAAAAAUCAAAAACAAAAUAGAAUUGUAAAUCUGAAGUCAUCAUGAAAUAACCUCUUUUCUAAGCUAAACCCAUUGGAAACAAUCCACAAAACAGAGGAAAGAGAAACAAAAUAGAAUACAGCUCCAAAGAAUGUUAAGCCUAAAUCACUAUCUUCGUUGGGAACUAAAGUCAGCCAAACUUCUUUAAAUAACAAAACAAAAGAGAAAUCCUUAGCAUAAAAGAAGCUCCUUGGUAAAAAAGCUCUGACAACUCAUUACAUUCAUUUUUUUCUAAUAUUUCAUUAUGCAGUUUCAAUUAUUCUCAUAUUCCUUGAUAUUGAUUCUAAUAAAGGAAUUUGAGUUGCAAUAAACAUGAUUAAAUAAAGUGUUUAAGGCCUACAUUUGGAAAGACAUAUAUAAAUAGUAUUAAAAAUUGAUAUGAGAGAUACUAAAAUUUCAAAAUGUAGUAUUAUAGAAUUAAAAGUUUAUCAAAGCUGGGUAUGGUGGCUCAUGCCUGUAAUCCCAGCAUGUUGGGAGGCAGGCGAAUCACUGAGGCAAGGAGUUUGAGACCAGCCUGGCCAACAUGGUGAAACCCUGUCUCUGCUAAAAAUAACAAUAAUCACCCAGGCAUGGUGGCACACACCUGUAGUCCCAGCUACUCAGGAGGCUGAGGCAGGAUCACUUGAACCCAGAAAGUGGAGGUUGCAGUGAGCUAAGAUCACGCCACUGCACUCCAGCCUGGGGGACAGAGUGAGGCUCCUCUCAAAAAAAAAAAAAAAAAAGUUUAUCCAAAGCACUAGAGGAUCCAUCCAGAAAAAGAGAGGAAGCAACAGUGCUCUCAUUAACCAAUAGACGCGAAUCAGUCAGAAGGUAGACUGGAAGGUUCUCCGGAGAGAAAGGUCAUAUCUUCCCUAAAGCAGACAUAGCACCUAAACCCAUAGGUAGUUCUGGGGUGGAGAUAAUAUUUAAAAUACACUGGCUGUGGUGGUAUUCUACCUCUUCAGGGUGUCCAGUGGCUGUUUCCUG